rfam:Parcubacteria group bacterium CG1_02_37_51 cg1_0.2_scaffold_5355_c, whole genome shotgun sequence.
UUGUAUAUACUGAUCUCACCGUAGACAAUAGGUGGCAAAGGCCUUAAUAUCCUAUCGAGGCAAAUGUAUUUUAUGUCUGCGGUAUUACGCAGUUUUUUUAUUAACUAA